UUUCCGUAGGUGAACCUGCGGAAGGAUCAUUACUGAGUGAGGGCCCUCUGGGUCCAACCUCCCACCCGUGUUUAUUAUACCUUGUUGCUUCGGUAAGCCCGCCUCACGGCCGCCGGGGGGCAUCUGCCCCCGGGCCCGCGCCCACCGAAGACACCUAGAACUCUGUAUGAAGAUUGCAGUCUGAGCAAAAACUAAAUAAGUUAAAACUUUCAACAACGGAUCUCUUGGUUCCG
rnacentral:misc_RNA from 1 species